UACGGAGGGUGCGAGCGUUGUCCGGAAUCACUGGGCGUAAAGGGCGCGUAGGUGGCUCGUGAAGCGUGCGGUGAAAGUCCGGGGCUCAACCUCGGAUCGGCCGUGGCGACUCGUGGGCUGGAGCACUGUAGAGGCGGGUGGAAUUCCGGGUGUAGCGGUGGAAUGCGUAGAGAUCCGGAAGAACACCAGUGGCGAAGGCGGCCCGCUGGGCAGUGGCUGACGCUGAGGCGCGACAGCGUGGGGAGCAAACAGG
rnacentral:rRNA from 1 species